UACGGAGGAUCCAAGCGUUAUCCGGAUUUAUUGGGUUUAAAGGGUGCGUAGGCGGCCUAUUAAGUCAGGGGUGAAAGACGGUAGCUUAACUAUCGCAGUGCCUUUGAUACUGAUGGGCUUGAAUGGACUAGAGGUAGGCGGAAUGUGACAAGUAGCGGUGAAAUGCAUAGAUAUCGGGAGGAACACCAGUGGCGAAGGCGACUACCUGGCCUGUUCUUGACGCUGAGGCGCGAAAGCUAGGGGAGCAAACGGG
rnacentral:rRNA from 1 species